AUACAUUUGGUUAACGCUAUUUGGUACCGCUUGCAAGGCGGCGACCACGAGUUACCUGCCCCUAUACAAUGAGUUAAUUGCCCCUGUAUUUCAUCUGUUAAGUUGUACUUAAAAUAGGCUAACUCUUGCGCAAAAAAAGAUAGAAAAUAUCAAAUAUGGGAAAGCGGGACGAUAGACCAAACAUAUCUACGAAGAGACCGUUGGUGCCGGAAAUAUCUCUGUCUUUAGUAGUGUCUGCGAGGUAUAUUAAUUUAUAAAACAUGAGAUAUUAGUACCAUAUUGCCCGGGAAUCAAAAGAUUUUUGCAAGAUCGGUAAGUAUAUUCAAUAUAGGCUAAACAAGCACAAGGCCAGGGCACGUGGUAAGUCAUUCCGCAGCGCAGGAAUGACCAAAACUAGCCUACUACGGUACCAUUUACAGAAAUUACCAAAAAAAAAAAAUGACAAAAAUUACCGAGAGAGGAGCUAAAAUGACCUCAGUAAUACAUGACAUCUACUAUCAUAUUCACAUUAAAAAUUUUGGUCCCUCCUUUGACGACUUCAAUAAUUUUUAAUUUCGGUCAUAUCUUUGGUAUUUUCUGUGAACGUUUGUAAUUUCGGACAUUAUAUGUAACAAUCCUACUAUUCAUUCCACAAUGAAGGCCAGUGGGCCUAGAUUUUUAAUUUGAUACACGUAUAAACUUAACACUGCGCAAGUUACGUCACGGAAUGCAGUAUAGGGGAGGAGAAAAUAUUUGGCUGGACCAGGAGUCGAACCUAGGAUCCCUGCAUUACUAGUCAGGUGCUCUAACCACUGAGCUAUCCAGGUCGAUAUCCACGGUCCGUGUAGCCCUAACUACUAAAUUCCUCCCUUUAAUUUGUUUUUGCUGUCGAAGACACACGACCCAGAUUCAUUUCACCCCUGGCAGGACAAGAGUAGUCACGGCACCAACUGGUAAAAUCUUGCACAGAGGUCCCUAGGUUCAAUUCCCGAUCCAGCCACAAAUUUUCUCCGUGUAUGUCUAUCUGAGACUGAGUUGGAAAAUUACGGUAUCUUCAUAGUGACAAACUAAUGAAAAUAUUGAUCAAAUUCGACUGGUCAAGGACUGUUAAUAUAAAUAAAUUUGAAACAUUGGUCAUUGUAAUGAUUGGUUUCAUGUUAUACUAAGCUUGUGUUUCAAGACAAGGCUGUCUUUGUUGGUGAUGAUACUGAUGUAUAUAUUUAGAAACAAGUAAUGCUUUGAUUUUGAUUACAGGUGUGGUCUUUAAAAAAAUUAAUGCAUGGCAAGGUUGAUAGUGAGACUAAUAAAUUCUUUCAGCAGAAUUCAGCUAGACACAAAAAAAAAGACAAUCACUACAGCCUUCCAAGAAGAUGGACUGCCUCACAAUAGUUUCCUUGAGGACUGUCUUGAAAUAUCCAGAGUUUAAGAUUCAAGAAACGGACUCUAUCUGGAAAAGGAAAACAAUAUCAAAGCUCCUCUGUGAGAAGUUGGCCAAGGAAAGCAUUCAGAAGAAAGUGGAGAUUCAUUGUUUUUACCAGAUCCAGCAGAUCACAGAAAGCAUCUAGUAGGGGAGUUUCCAGGAUUAAGCCAGCCAGUAGAUGAGACUAUUAUAUCAAAAAUACAUUUACUUGUACACGAGGGCACACAAAGCGUUGAUGAAACAAAAAGACAUUUCCAUCUGUUUGUAAAGGAUACUAUUUCACCAGGGAACACCAUCUCAGAAUUUAACAGAUGCUUUUACCCCGCCAAUAAGGAUGUAAGAAAUCACAUUUACAGGGCACCGAGAUUUUGCCAGGUAGUUUAGAACUGUGUGCAUUGGUUUUGGAAGAAUUUGGGCUGUUUAGGCUAAAAUCCAUCAUGUAAGUUCAUCUUUGUGGUGCACAAAUUCCAUAUGGUCAUUUCAAAUAGUCAACAUUGCUUCUAUUUUCAAUCUGAAAUUCUACAUGUAUUUUGUUUGAGAGAUGAAAACAAUCCUCGAAACAUUAUCACCGUUAUCUUUAAUUUUCCAUCAUACUUGUGUCAAAGAGUUGAACUUUCUUUACCAGUAAUUUUAUAUUGACUUCGCAUUGUGUGAUAUAUAAAGUUUUAUGAUUUUAUUUUCUGUCUAAGAUAUUCAAUAUUUAAAGGAAAAAGAUAAUGGUAGGAGAUGGUAGGAUAAAUUCUAAUUAUUCAAAGAAACUUGAUAAAUACUGUGUUUGAGCUUAUAUACUCGAUAACACAAUAGAAGAAUGCAAUUUACUAGUUAAACUUUGAUAGGAUACUAAAUUUAGGAUGAGCCAAUAAGAUUAUGUCUUGUUUUUCAUGUUACAGGAUUGGACAGAAUAUGAACACACACAUCCAAUACUUCAAAGAUAUUAUGUUUGUGGAGGCAGAGAUUUUGAUUGCAUCCACUGUUUAGAAUACAUCCUUAAGGGAAGCAGACUGCCGCCUUUACCCAAUGAUAUAAUGAUUAAUCAUAACUAUAUCUGUUUUGUACCAAAUAGAAAGAGCAUUGAUUCAGGUCAUUUUCAAAUCCACUGGCAUACAUUGUACUAUACAUGCAACCUUUUCAAACUUUACAUUUAAGAUUUUAAAAAGGAAAUAUCUUAAUGUUUCACAUGUUUACCUUUCACUGUGCUAUGUAAUUCAUUAUACCUGCCAUUAUGCCAGUCUUCCUGAACAUAAUUUGUUUUCUGCAAUUUCAUUGG